rnacentral:sRNA from 1 species
GCAGGCUUUGCGGGGUGGGCAGCUCCCGGGCCUGCCAUGAGCUCUCCGCCGCCCGCCCGCAGUGGCUUUUACCGCCAGGAGGUGACCAAGACGGCCUGGGAGGUGCGCGCCGUGUACCGGGACCUGCAGCCCGUGGGCUCGGGCGCCUAUGGCGCGGUGUGCUCGGCCGUGGACAGCCGCACCGGCGCUAAGGUAGCCAUCAAGAAGCUGUAUCGGCCCUUCCAGUCCGACCUGUUCGCCAAGCGCGCCUACCGCGAGCUGCGCCUGCUCAAGCACAUGCGCCACGAGAACGUGAUCGGGCUGCUGGACGUAUUCACUCCUGAUGAGACCCUGGAUGACUUCACGGACUUUUACCUGGUGAUGCCGUUCAUGGGCACCGACCUGGGCAAGCUCAUGAAACAUGAGAAGCUAGGCGAGGACCGGAUCCAGUUUCUCGUGUACCAGAUGCUGAAGGGGCUGAGGUAUAUCCACGCUGCUGGCAUCAUCCACAGAGUGAGUCCCGGUGGAGGAGCCGCCCAUCAGCCCUCCCCCAGUGCAAUCCCCCCGCCUCCACGUCCCACCUGUGAGGAUCUGAUGGGGUCUGGGGGCUGAGCCACGCCCCAUGCACAGCCCCUGGUGGGAGCCUGCCUGGGUGCCCAGGACCUGAAGCCCGGCAACCUGGCUGUGAACGAAGACUGUGAGCUGAAGAUCCUGGACUUCGGCCUGGCCAGGCAGGCAGACAGUGAGAUGACUGGGUACGUGGUGACCCGGUGGUACCGGGCUCCCGAGGUCAUCUUGAAUUGGAUGCGCUACACGCAGACGGUGGACAUCUGGUCUGUGGGCUGCAUCAUGGCAGAGAUGAUCACAGGCAAGACGCUGUUCAAGGGCAGCGACCACCUGGACCAGCUGAAGGAGAUCAUGAAGGUGACGGGGACGCCUCCGGCUGAGUUUGUGCAGCGGCUGCAGAGCGAUGAGGCCAAGAACUACAUGAAGGGCCUCCCCGAAUUGGAGAAGAAGGAUUUUGCCUCCAUCCUCACCAAUGCAAGCCCUCUGGCUGUGAACCUCCUGGAGAAGAUGCUGGUGCUGGAUGCGGAGCAGCGGGUGACAGCGGCCGAGGCGCUGGCCCAUCCCUACUUUGAGUCCCUGCACGACACGGAAGAUGAGCCCCAGGUCCAGAAGUAUGAUGACUCCUUUGACGACGUGGACCGCACACUGGAUGAAUGGAAGCGUGUUACUUACAAAGAGGUGCUCAGCUUCAAGCCUCCCCAGCAGCUGGGGGCCAGGGUCUCCAAGGAGACGGCUCUGUGAAGAUCUCUGGGCUCCAGGGUGGCAGUGAGGACCACCUUCACCUUCCUCCUGAGAGGGGACUCUCGUUGCCACCUUGACCUUGACUGGGGUUUGCAUCCCGAGGCAUCCAUCAGAGCAGAGCCCCGGGUUCCAUGGACCCUCCUCCCCACAGCCAUGACUCUGCUCUUGGGUGCCCAUCAUGGAGGAGCACCUGAACUUUCUGGACAGGACCUCUGGCUGACCUGGGGAUGGCCUCUGAUCCCUGGAGCAGUGGCCCACUUGCCUGGUGCCCUCAGAAACCUCAGAGCUGGUGGGGCUCCAUAUCAGGCCUUGGCCUCUGAGCCCUGCCUGCUCUGGGCCAUGCAGAGGAAUGACAGAGGGCGGGCACAGGGCACCAACUCAGGGACAUCCCCUCUCCUGGGCGACGUCAGUGGACCUUCCUGCACCCCUAGCCUGGAAUGUAAAUUAGCUGUGUGGUGCCCACGUGGCUGGAAGGAAAUAGACCCUUUUGUAGCUCCC